GAUGAACGCUGGCGGCGUGCCUAAUACAUGCAAGUCGAGCGAACAGACGAGGAGCUUUCUCCUCUGACGUUAGCGGCGGACGGGUGAGUAACACGUGGAUAACCUACCUAUAAGACUGGGAUAACUUCGGGAAACCGGAGCUAAUACCGGAUAACAUGUUGAACCGCAUGGUUCAACAGUGAAAGACGGUCUUGCUGUCACUUAUAGAUGGAUCCGCGCCGCAUUAGCUAGUUGGUAAGGUAACGGCUUACCAAGGCAACGAUGCGUAGCCGACCUGAGAGGGUGAUCGGCCACACUGGAACUGAGACACGGUCCAGACUCCUACGGGAGGCAGCAGUAGGGAAUCUUCCGCAAUGGGCGAAAGCCUGACGGAGCAACGCCGCGUGAGUGAAGAAGGUCUUCGGAUCGUAAAACUCUGUUAUUAGGGAAGAACAAAUGUGUAAGUAACUAUGCACGUCUUGACGGUACCUAAAGAGAAAGCCACGGCUAACUACGUG
rnacentral:rRNA from 1 species